UCAUGACUGGGGUGAAGUCGUAACAAGGUAGCCGUAUCGGAAGGUGCGGCUGGAUCACCUCCUUUA
rnacentral:rRNA from 1 species